rnacentral:rRNA from 1 species
UACGUAGGGGGCUAGCGUUGUCCGGAUUUAUUGGGCGUAAAGAGCGUGUAGGCGGCCCGAUAAGUCCGCCGUGAAAGUCCAGGGCUCAACCCUGGAAUGCCGGUGGAAACUGUCGGGCUCGAGUCCGGAAGAGGCGAGUGGAAUUCCUGGUGUAGCGGUGAAAUGCGCAGAUAUCAGGAGGAACACCAAUGGCGAAGGCAGCUCGCUGGGACGGUACUGACGCUGAGACGCGAAAGCGUGGGGAGCAAACAGG